CCUACGGGUGGCAGCAGUGAGGAAUAUUGGUCAAUGGCCGGAAGGCUGAACCAGCCAAGCCGCGUGAAGGACGAAGGUGCCAAGCAUUGUAAGCUUCUUUUGUCAAGGGACAAAAUCAGGCUCGAGAGCCUGACCGAGGGUACUUGACGAAAAAGCAUCGGCUAACUCCGUACCAGCAGCCGCGGUAAAACGGGGGAUGCGAGGGUUAGCCGGAUUUAUUGGGUUAAAGGGGUGCGUAGGCGGAGGGUUAAGUCAGCGGAAAAAGCCCGGGGCUCAACCCCGACGGGCCGUUGAUACUGGCUGUCUUGAGAUGUCGAGAGGGAUGCAGAAUGCGAAGUGUAGCGGUGAAAUGCUUAGAUAUUGCGCAGAACUCCGAUUGCGAAGGCAGCAUACCGGCGGAGGUCUGACGCUGAGGUACGAAAGCGUGGGUAUCGAACAGGAUUAGAUACCCCUGUAGUC
rnacentral:rRNA from 1 species